UGGGGGCUGCUCUCCAACUGUGGUACAUGGGCUUUUCAUUGUGGUGGCUUCUCUUGUUGCAGAGCACAGGCUCUCGGGUGCAUAGGCUUCAGUAGCUGCGGCACACGGGCUCAGCAGUUGCGGCUCCCAGGCUCCACGACACCAGCUGAAAAGUUGUGUCACAUGGACUUAGUUGCUCUGAGGCAUGUGGGGUCCUCCCGGACCAGAGAUCAAACCCGCAGAUCUCCCUGCAUCGGCAGGCAGAUUCUUUACCACUGGACCACCAGAGAAGCCCCAUCAUUGCAUUUUUGAUCUGUCCUCAGAGGACACAGGCUUCCUCUCCCAAACUGCGUAUUCUCAGGGAACAACCACCUUCACAUCUCACACUAAGAAAUCCCCACCUGAAAGUCCCAUGUGUGGAAGAUUCUAUGAUGACUCCUCCCACCUUGUAAAGCAGUGUGGGCUUUGUUGCUUGUUCAGACAUCUGGAAACAGUGCCUGGCUGGUGUGACUGAGGGACCAGAGCUGCCAGCCAGAGCAGCAUAUUCUCUCAUUCUGACGGCUCUCACCAUUGCCUUUUGUUUAUAAACUGUUGGAGCAAUUAGAAAACACUGUAAAUUCAAAUCAACUGGAGAGGAGUCCUAGUCUGGGCAGGGGUUCAGAGUCCUUGCACGGAACCCUUCGUCCAGAGGGGCCUCAUCUGGUCCUUGUAGUUUCCGAGCCAGGCAGUCCAGCCUCAAGCCCGGACCUGGGUUUCCUGGCAAGUCUGUCCUUUUCUCAACGUCACUAGCUCAGCUUCUCUCUCUCUCCCCUCUCUGGCCUCGCUCAAUGGAAAACAGCUGGCCAAUCUCCUUCUCUGCCUUGAAGGUGGUUAUUGAAGUGCUUUCGCAUUUUUCCUCUGCAGCCUGUAGCACUUCGUCACUUACUGGGCAUCUGAGGUUCCGUGUCAGCAUGAAAACUCAUUACCUGCCUGCCUGGUUCUGCUGGCUCAGCUCCUUCUUGGAAGCAGGUGGCAUUUCCAUAAUGAAUAUAUUAAAAAGAAAGAAAGAAAACAUUCCUGGUUUGUUGUUAGACUGGUUUCUUAUUAGACACCUAGUCCUCAUUCGAGCAGGAAUUAUAGAGAGGGUCAUAAGGAAAAAAGGUUGGUCUAUGGAUGGAGAAGCCUGGUAUGCUGCAGUCCUGGGUCUCACAGAGUCGGACAUGACUGAAUCGACUUAGCAGCGGCAGCAGCAGCAUAAUUAUGAAACAUGCUAUUAUCCAAGUUUUGACAGAAUUUUGCUGGAGGGGCCACCACAGUGUUGACCUUGGUUGAUGGGUUUGACCUUUGCUAAGUGGGGUUCCUCAGUGGCUGCUGGAAGCUCUGAAAGUGGGAUCGUCUGAAAGUGAGAAGAAUCGUCUGAUUUAAGCCACAGACAACAACUUAGAUUUGGGGAUUUAUGUCAUUUUCUCUUUGUGACUUUGCCUGUAUUCACAAUUUAAUGAGCUGGACAUCUUUUUUUUUCCCCUUAUACUUUUAAAACAUUUUCAUUGCUCUUCAAAAACA